rnacentral:rRNA from 1 species
UACCAGCAGCCCGAGUGGUCGGGACGAUUAUUGGGCCUAAAGCAUCCGUAGCCGGUUCUACAAGUCUUCCGUUAAAUCCACCUGCUUAACAGAUGGGCUGCGGAGGAUACUAUAGAGCUAGGAGGCGGGAGAGGCAAGCGGUACUUAGUGGGUAGGGGUAAAAUCCGUUGAUCCAUUGAAGACCACCAGUGGCGAAGGCGACUACCUGGCCUGUUCUUGACGCUGAGGCGCGAAAGCUAGGGGAGCAAACGGG